rnacentral:piRNA from 1 species
UAGCUGUGGGUUUUGUCAACGAUG